AUUGAACGCUGGCGGCAGGCCUAACACAUGCAAGUCGAGCGGAUGAAGGGAGCUUGCUCCUGGAUUCAGCGGCGGACGGGUGAGUAAUGCCUAGGAAUCUGCCUGGUAGUGGGGGAUAACGUCCGGAAACGGGGGCUAAUACCGCAUACGUCCUGAGGGAGAAAGUGGGGGAUCUUCGGACCUCACGCUAUCAGAUGAGCCUAGGUCGGAUUAGCUAGUUGGUGGGGUAAAGGCCUACCAAGGCGACGAUCCGUAACUGGUCUGAGAGGAUGAUCAGUCACACUGGAACUGAGACGCGGUCCAGACUCCUACGGGAGGCAGCAGUGGGGAAUAUUGGACAAUGGGCGAAAGCCUGAUCCAGCCAUGCCGCGUGUGUGAAGAAGGUCUUCGGAUUGUAAAGCACUUUAAGUUGGGAGGAAGGGCAGUAAGUUAAUACCUUGCUGUUUUGACGUUACCAACAGAAUAAGCACCGGCUAACUUCGUG
rnacentral:rRNA from 1 species